GUGCUCCUACGGGGCGCAGCAGUGGGGAAUAUUGCGCAAUGGGCGAAAGCCUGACGCAGCGACGCCGCGUGAGGGAUGAAGGUCUUCGGAUCGUAAACCUCUGUCAGCAGGGAAGAACGGUCACUGUGCUAAUCAGCAGUGAAUUGACGGUACCUGAAGAAGAAGCCCCGGCUAACUACGUGCCAGCAGCCGCGGUAAUACGUAGGGGGCAAGCGUUAUCCGGAUUUACUGGGUGUAAAGGGGGCGCAGACGGCGAUGCAAGCCAGGAGUGAAAGCCCGGGGCCCAACCCCGGGACUGCUCUUGG
rnacentral:rRNA from 1 species